rfam:Plasmodium vinckei petteri strain CR unplaced genomic scaffold supercont1.13, whole genome shotgun sequence.
GCGGGCAUGGUCUAGUGGUUAUGACGCCUGCUUUACACGCAGGAGAUCCCGAGUUCGAUCCUCGGUGCCCGUA